rnacentral:lncRNA from 1 species
AAGGACUUUUGAACCAAGAAAGGACAUCUAAAGAAAAAUAUAUCAAAAACCUUCUCUCUAGCAGUGAAACACACUACUACGAGACUAAUGAGUCAGACCUGCUUUUCAGUCUUAAUUUUCAUAUGAUUGUAGCUGACUUCAUACAGUUACAGCCUCUGUUCACAGGGCCCAGCGCUCUAUACGGACAUGAAUAAAAAUGCAUGAGAGGGAGAAAGAAACUCAGUUCAUUUUUAUGAUUAAGUUUAAAAUACAGCCUAGUAAAUGUUUUAAAGACAGCAUUACUGUCUUUGAAAUGCAGUAUUAGUGACUAUUUAAAAAUUCAAAGCAUGCUUCCUAAUUCCACACUCUGUCCAGCUGUAUUUAAAAACUGGGUAUUUAAAUGAAGAUGUUCAGAGCAUGGUAACCAUCUAAUUCAAACUAAUAUAAAUUAUCUCUCUGACUCUGUCAGCCAUGAAAGACUGAGGAAACAUAACUGAGAUAUGCAAGUGCCUCGAGAAUCUAAACAGCUUGCCUUCCAUAAGGAUGAGCGGCAGUGGAAGCUUCCUGAUUGCUUGCAACCACACAGAUUGUCUGAACCUUUCUGUAGUAAUCAAGGCUCAAAGCUUGGAAU